GUAUUUUAGUAUUGCUCUGAUUUACUUUUUAUUAUUCCUUACGCCAUUUUUGUUAUGUAAUCCAUUUCCUGGUCGCCUAUUCUUUGUCUUGGGUCGGGUGUCUAUUGAAAACAACCUCUCUACUUCUUCGGAGGUAGCGGUAUAAACUGCGUACAUCUUAUCCUCUCCAGACCUCACUUUGUAGGAACACACUGGGUUUGUUGUUUUUGUUGUUGUAUUGUAGAUAGAGAUUGUGCUCCAUAAAAUAAAGUAAGUAUCAAUUUACAAUUAUUGCAUGUUAUCUCUUCCAUAUAUUCU
rnacentral:lncRNA from 1 species